rnacentral:rRNA from 1 species
GGAGAAAUAUAACCUCGGGAAACUGACGAUAAUGCUUCAUAGUUGAAUAGGCUUGGAAAAGUUUUUCAAUAAAAGGGAUAAGAAAAAUGGUUCUUAUCUGCCAUAGGAUAGGAUCGUGCUCGAUUAUGGUUGUUGGUGAGGUAACGGCUCACCAAGCCGAUAAUCGAUAGGGGCCGUGAGAGCGGGAGCCCCAAGAUGGGUACUGAGACAGCGACCCAGGCCUUACGAGGCGCAGCAGGUACGAAACCUCCGCAAUACACGAAAGUGUGACGGGGUUACCCAAAAUGUUCUUAUUGAACUGUGGCAGGUGAGUAAUGUCCCCUGCUAGAAAGGAGAGGGCAAGGCUGGUGCCAGCCGCCGCGGUAAAACCAGCUCUUCAAGUGGUCGGGAUAAUUAUUGGGCUUAAAGUGUCCGUAGCCGGUUUAGUAAGUUCCUGGUAAAAUCAGGUAGCUUAACUAUCUAUAUGCUAGGAAUACUGCUAUACUAGAGGGCGGGAGAGGUCUGAGGUACUACAGGGGUAGGGGUGAAAUCUUAUAAUCCUUGUAGGACCACCAGUGGCGAAGGCGUCAGACUGGAACGCGCCUGACGGUGAGGGACGAAAGCCAGGGGAGCGAACCGGAUUAGAUACCCGGGUAGUCCUGGCCGUAAACGAUGCAUACUAGGUGAUGGCACGGCCAUGAGCCGUGUCAGUGCCGUAGGGAAACCGUUAAGUGUGCCGCCUGGGAAGUACGGUCGCAAGGCUAAAACUUAAA